rfam:Schistosoma rodhaini strain Burundi genome assembly, scaffold: SROB_scaffold0004680
AUCCAGCUGAGGAUUCCCAAAUUGGACGAAACGCGUGUAGUGGAU